UCCUCUACACUCAACUAUUUCUGCUUACCACCCUCAUAUUAGUUCUGAACCUGAGUCAUUACCCUGUGAUAGGUCAGAUUGUGGGUACAUGGAGGAAUCUAGUAUAGAGGAGGAAGGUGCCCCAGAAGCACUGAACUUUGCUGUCAGCCAGUACAAUGAAAACAGCAGUGACAUGUACCUGAGCCAUAUGGUGGAAGUGAAAACGGUCCCAAAAAAAGAAGGGGUGGUGGCUGAGAGGAUCUUGUUAUUUGAUGUGAUCCUAGGAAAAACUACAUGUAUGAAGACACAGGCCUGACUUGAGCAACUGUCUCUUAAAUGAAGAGACUGAUCAGAAAGAG